rnacentral:rRNA from 1 species
AUGUGGACCCGUCUUCGUGAGCGCUAUCAGCCCUCUGGUGAUGCCUUAUACCUCUCUGUGGUCCGUCAGGAGCAUGCUCUUCAGCAGGGUGACUCUUCUGUUGAUGACUUCUAUGCACAGAGUUCUGCUAUCUGGCGCCAGCUUGAUUCUCUUCGUAGUGCUGGGUGUCGUACCUGCCCCUGUUGCCAGGCUGUCCAGGCUAAUUUGGAGUUUCAUCGCGUCUAUGAGUUCUUGUCUCGGCUCCGUAAGGAGUUUGAGCCCCGGCGUGCUCAGUUGUUUGCUCGUGGCCGUAUUUCUCUCAUGGAGGCGCUUUCUGAGAUUCGUGCUGAGGAGACUCGCUUACGUGGUGCUGGUUUGCUGGAGGUUCCCUCUGUGCUUACUACUCAUGCUUCUACGCCACUUGCUCCACCGACCCCUUCUCGCUCGAGUGCUCCGCCGCUCUUGCCCACUCCUUCUGGAGGCUCAGGUCGCCCCCGUCCACAUUGCGCCUAUUGCAACAAUGAUGGUCAUCUUGAGUCUCAGUGCUACACGAAGAAGAAACACCUGCGCAAGGCUCGAUCAUCAUCUUCAGGGACUUCGUCA